UUUCUAGUUUCCCAUGUGUUGUCAAAGCAAAGAUUACAACUAACAAGCUACACUGCCGGGAAACUAGGUAAGUAUUUGCUGAAUGAAUGCAUAUAACAUUUAGGACCAUAAUAAUCAUGUCACUCCUAGUUGGAUCAAAGCAGCCUCAGAGAUAACUUGUCUUUAGAGUGAUGCUUAAGAUGUUCUUACUCCUUGCCUGUUGAACAUGUUCUUUCUGGGGUGAUAACUUGUGCUCCCUUCAUCUAGACCACUUUUAAGUCAGUGGCAUAUUUUUGUAAGACAACGUCUAUAGUUCAUGGCCAUGGAACAAAGUAAAGGUAACUUAUUUUUGUAAACUAGGGACUGGCAAACUUUUUCUUUAUAAAAGGCCAGAAAGUAAAUAUUAAUAUAUUAGGCAUUAUAGGCCAAAUGUAGUUUCUGUUGCAUAUUCGUGUGCAUAUGUGUGUUGUUUGCCGCCCUCUAAAAAUAUAAAAACCGGCUGGGUGCGGUGGCUCACGCCUCUAAUCCCAGCACUUUGGGAGGCUGAGGCAGGUGGAUCACUUGAGGUCAGGAGUUCGAGACCAGCCUAGCCAACAUGGUGAAACCCCAUCUCUACUAAAAAUACAAAAAUUUGCCAGGUGAUUACAUGCCUGUAAUCCCAGCUACUGGGGUGGCUGAGGCAGGAGAAUUGCUUGAACCCGGGAGUCAGAGGCUGCAGUGAGCUAAGAUUGUGCCACUGCAUUCCAACCUGGGUGACAGAGUGAGACCCUGUCUCAAAAAAUAAAUAAGUAAAAUAAUAAUAUAAAAACCAUUCUUAGUUAACGGCCAUACAAAAUAGGCCAGGGGAUUGACUUGCUUGUCAUAAUUGGCUGACCCCUUGUCUAAACCAAUGAGCUGAACUUCCAUGGACAUAAUGAUACAUUUCUAAGUUCAGAGCAGCUGACUCACAUCUGUGGUCUUUUCCUCUAAUAUCCUAGUUGCUUCCUUGCCGUAAUUACUGACAGAGGUGUCCCUUCAGGACCUUGCUUACCUCAAAUAGAAGCUUUUUUCUAUUCUUACUUUCUGUGUGCUUCAGGGGCAGGAGAUUGGGUAGGUGUCCUUUUUGCUUUACUGCCACUUCAGACUUUCUCCCUUAGGUCUUUGAAGUUCUAUUCUUGCCUUCUUUCCUUACUAUCUUACCUCCCAGAAGAACCUUCUGCCCAUUCAUAGAAUACUUUAGCUCGUGGCCUAGUUUUCUUCUCCCCUGCAGCAAUCAUUUUAGUGAUUCCUUGUGGAUAACAAAUAGUGGCUAGCAAAUAUAACAACAGUAUGAGUUUUAAGUUUUCCAGUCUUUUUCUCUGUCCCAUCAGAGGCCUCUCAGUGGUCACACCUGGAUCCUUAUCAGCACCUCCACUCUGUAGACCUGAUUUUGAGUAUUCCACUCUCCAUUCACUGUCACCACUCCUCUUCAUUGCUGAAGUUCUGCACUUUGACCUCACUCUCAUUACGCAUCAUCUGUCUUGUUGAGCUUAGCUUCAAGUUCAUAGUUGCUUCCUUGCAUAUACCCUGAAUUCCUUGUCUCUGACUCUAGUUAUUUCUCUUUCAGAACCCAAACCAAGUAACAGCUAUGUUUCCUUCAUGCCUGUUCUCACGCAGCUCAACAUCGCUGGAGAAUAUCAAACAGACCAUUUUCAUACUGAUGUUUGCAAAUCUCAAGUGGAUUCUCAGUACUGCUUAGUGAUCUUAUUAUGUUCCCCUACUAAGUUCAUUUUCUAACUUUGAGAUAAUUAUUUUACUACUUUUUUAUAUUUUUUUCUAGCUUGACUUGAAUACUAGCCUUCUCAAUGUUCAGCCCUUGGCUUUUUAUACAUCUUUGAGAAAAUACAAAUUACCACUUUCUUUUGAUUUAAUGGAUAUAUCUUUUUUUUUCCUUUCAAAGGAAAAUACUACUUAUGUUCUGUUUCCCACUCCUUAUUUUCUCAGAAACCUGAUUUUUCUAAGUUUUUCACGCAAUUUCUCAAGCCAGGAAUCUGCCUGUAAAAUCAUCCUUGAUUUUUCACUUUCUCUCUUCUAUGCCUUCCCACAAUAUAAUUUAAUUAGCGAGUAUUUCUGAUUCCACUUCCAAAAUGAAAAUCAAAUUGGCUACCUUUGCUUUUUAUUCUAGAAAUGUUUUCUUAGUGUUAAAAGUGUAGCCCUUAAUAAAUGAGGCUUUAUUUUAGCCGAUCAUCCUCCACUGUGAAAUCAGCCCUGCAACGUAUCUUGUUUAGGUUCGUACAGAAUUUAAACAAUAUUUUCCAUGUUAAUUAAAGUAAAUAAUUAUUUUACUUUCAGAGCAAACAAAAGAGAAAUCAACAUUUCUUUGUUUGCUGGUGUCUGGAUGUUUUUCCCCGGGAAUAUCUGUAAGCAGCAUGUUGCCAUUACUAACCCACAGGGAAAAUGGAUUAGUAAAAAGCUUAGGACAAUUAACAGGAAAAUUGCAUUAAGGUUAAUCCCUUGGAUAUGGUGCCAUGGUUAAAUCACCCACAGAUUUGUUAUUCAUAAAUGUAUUUAUCUUAAAUAUUUAAAAUGGGCAUUUAAGAGGAAUUUAAUAUACAGUUUGUUUAAGGUCCACAUGUUUUUUAAAACGUUAAUUACUUAUAUCCUUAUUUAUACAGAAUUUUUGGUUCAGUUUAGUUACCUCAACUUUGCUUUCCCUGUGCUUAUAACAAGUUUUAAGAAAGAUGAGUUUUAAACCUUUUGUUUCCUGACUGAAUACCUUAACAUUUUCCCCGCAUAUAUACAUGACUACACACACGCCAUACACACACACAAAAUUGACAUUGUUUACCUUUUGUUUAUUUCUAGGAAUCAAGACUAUCUGGACUCAGUGUCAGCCACUACUAAUAUUUAUACCAUCUUUCUCCUCAUUUAAAGGUUUGUUUUUUUUUUCCCUUUUUCCUAUGAUCUGUGAAGAACAAGCACACUGAUAAUUACAAAGUGCAUCCAUGUGAUACCCAGAUUUGUGCAGUGUGAUACUCAUGCUUUGGUUCUUAUGGCCAUCAUUGCCUUUUCAUGUUAAUAAAUAAUGACAGCUAACAAAAAUAAGUCACCUUUUUUAAUGUAGGACAUCUUUCUUUGACAGGCUACUGUAUCUAUAAUCACCGUUAAUCUAGCUCACUGCAAUGUCAUUCACACAUCAGUUUUACAUGAAUAUGCAAAGAACACAAUAAUCAACUGUCAAACCUAAACGAUUAAUUACUUAUCACAGAAUCUGUUGAAUAUUUUUGUUUUCUAACUGAGCAAGGGAAAUCCUGUCAGCUUUUAAAAGUAAGGGCUAGAUUCUUAGUCAUAAUUACUCAUCAUCUGUCAAGUUGACACCUCAUAUGGAUGAAAUAAGCCUUACACAUUUGAUUUAAUAACAAAAAUAGGUAAUUUUAUUCCCCUAUUGUAAGUACUUCAUAGUAACAAUUUAUUUAUUUCACAACUCUGCUAUAGGCAGAUUGAUUGUUUUAUCUUUCUAUACUUUUGGAUUUUUACCCUUUAGAGAUGUGAACUUCAUCUGACUUUAAAAUGAGGACACUUAAUUUAAUGCUUUUAAAAAUCAUAACUAACUUUUGUGACUUUGAAAUAAAAGAAUGAAUUAAACUGUUUUGAAAUACUCAACAACUGUUAAAUAAAGCAGAAGCUUAGUCUCUAAUUUUACGGCUGUGCUAUCCAAUAUAGUUAAUUCAAGUUGAAGUGUACUUUUAAAUUACCAACUGGAUUUUGAAAACUUGGUUCAAGAAACAGAUGUAAACUAUCAAUCAAUCAAUCAAUUUUUUAUAUUGAUGACAUGUUGAAAUAACAUAUAGUGUUUUUAAAAAAUCAAAAUUCAUUUUAACAAACAAACAUUUAUUUUUACUUUUUAAAAUAGGGCUACUGGGAAGUUAAAUAUUUGCAUCUGUGGCCUGCAUUUGUGGCUGUUGUGUUUCUAUUGGACAGCACUGUAUUAGAGGAACCAGAUGAAAAUAAAUAUAAGACCUGAUAACAGUUCUGUGGGUAUUUAACAGAGCUAAUUAUAUCCGAACAUUUUCUGAAAAUCUUUUGCGUGACUUAAACAAACGUAAUUAAUUCCAAAUAUCAAUGUCUUCAAAUGUAUAUUGCAUCUAUUUAAAAAAAACAUGCAUCUGUCAAAAUAACCAGACUCCACUAAACCAUACAAAUCUGUUAGCUGUCAAAGCAUAUCAAAAUAUGCAUCCUCCAAGUUCACUUCCAAUGUGACUUAGGGAUAAUGCAGACAAUUUCAGGCUUAAAACCAAAUAUGUUAGUUAUUUCCAGAUGAGACAGUUAACAUUACAAGGCCCUAGAAGUAAUACACAUCGCAAUUCAAGUCUGUAUUCUUGAACUUUUCCCCUGUUACUGUGAAGAAGAGUAUCAUGGGUCCAUUUAAUCUUUGAUUACUGCCUAAAAGCAUUCAUUGCCCCAGUAGUUCUUAAUUGUCUUGGAAAUCAUUCUCUUGCAAACUUCACAUUUCCAUAUCAUACUUUACUUUACGCUAUUACUUCAUGGGCUCCUGGGCAUUUGGUCUGUUUGUUUUUCUCCUUUCCUCUUUGAACAAAGUCAGGAAAAAUGUGUCAGUAGGAGAAAGGAGGAGCUGAAGGGAGUAAAUAAUUCAAGAUCACUUCUGUCAUUUGUAGUGGCUGAGGGCUAGAAAGAUAUUCUUCGGUGAAGAAACUCCCAACAGGUUCCAUCAGACUGAUACAACUUCAGGGGGGCCACCCUCUGCAGAUGGCAGUGAAUUUGCACCUGUUUGUGGUACAGGCACUACCACAGCAUCUUUGAUGUCUGUGUUUACAUUACAUGAGAAGUUCUUCUCCAGUUUUUUGGCAGUGUCUGGGCAAUUUUGUACAAAGAUCACACGGUUGUAGGCCUUCAGCCUGCGCCACAACUGAACAUAGACUUUACACUGUACGUACAUGAAGACAAGACCUCCUGUGAAGCCAAUGGCUACCACAACCAGUUUUGUCCAAAAUGGCCAUUCAAGGACACCUUUGAAAUGAAAAAGAGAAAAUGUUAUCACCAAGUUGUCCUCAGUGGAUUUGGUCAUUUUUUUUUUCUAUGACCCUUCAAAAGCCCGUGCUUGCCUUCUAGAUUAUGUAUGUUAACAGAAAUAAUAUAUUCUUCAUAACUAGAAAGAAUUAUAACCCGAAUUGGCGUAAUUCCUUUUGAGUAUCCUACAUGUACUGUCAAAAUUGUAUAUCAGGACAUUUUCUCACCUAUCACUGUCAAAUCUCUUAUUUCUCCUAGCAUCAAGUACCUAUCAUAAUUAUGAGAUAUUAUGUUAGAUUUUGGACAUUUGGACACUGACAUUUAUCCCUUAUAGCUAGACUUUUAAGGAAGGAUGGUGAACAUAAUGGAAGAAUCAGAGUUUAAAAUCCUUCUAAGAAGAUGAGGUAUAGGUACAUGUAUGGGUUUGUAUGUACAGGUCUUCCCACCCUCAUUUAUUUUAAAAUGUAAAAGGAAAGGAAGGAAUGGAAGAAGGGAGAUGGGGAGGAGUAAGAGGGAGGGGAAGGAAAAAGCUGCCACAUCUCACCAGAGAGAGAAUUCCUGAGUACAAACAUGCAAAAGAUUUAGGAUUUUAGCCAUUUGUUUCAUAAAUCAUAUUUUGUCAUUGAGAACCAUCACACUUUUAUAGAUGUCUAUAUUUUCUCUUAAUUUCCAUCACCAUUACUAGAAAUAGGCUUUCUUUUGUAAAUACAGUUUUAAAAAUUAUUUCACAGGCAUUUCAGUGACUACAACAGUGAGUAUUUAGGCAAUACAUAAUUAUGAAUGUUAAAUAUAUGAGGGUCAAGAGUGUUAAAUAUAUGAGGGUCAAGUGGUCCUCUUGCCCACAUUAGGGUGGUGUGGGGGACAAUAGCUGUCUUCCCGUAAGUGAAAAGUUGUGAAGUAGAAAAAUAUAGCUCAGUAUGGCUCAAUACAGUGCACCAGGAAGGGAUGGUAGAAAUGUGUAAAAACCAUGGUAAUUGAGAGUCUAUGAUUUGACUUUGGAUUUUUAUUUACUUACAACAGUGAUUAGAGUUAUAAGAAAUAUCCUAUCUAUAUUUUGUAGUAGUGACAUUUGCUUUAUGCUUCUGGAAGCAAAGCAGAAAUCAUGCCCUGUUUGUUUCCAUCAUGAUGAAGCACCUUGUACCCUAAGAUUAACCAAAAAUAACAGCGUUACCCUGUCAAUUUCUG
rnacentral:lncRNA from 1 species